AGUCACUGACAUUAGAUACCCGGGUACGUCCAGGGUGUAAACGCUGCAGACUCGGUGUUUGGAAGCCCUUUUGGGGGCAUUCAGUGCCGGAGAGAAGUUGUUAAGUCUGCUACUUGGGGAGUACGUCCGCAAGGAUGAAACUUAAAGGAAUUGGCGGGGGAGCACCACAACGGGUGGAGCCUGCGGUUUAAUUGGACUCAACGCCGGAAAUCUCACCGGAUAGGACAGACAUAUGAUAGUCGGGCUGAAGACUCUACUUGAUGAUCUG
rnacentral:rRNA from 1 species